rnacentral:rRNA from 1 species
AGGACGAACGCUGGCGGCGUGCCUAACACAUGCAAGUCGAGCGGAGACAUUUGGAAAGCUUGCUUUUUGGAUGUUUCAGCGGCGGACGGGUGAGUAACGCGUGAGCAACCUGCCUUUAACAGGGGGAUAACGCAUCGAAAGAUGUGCUAAUACCGCAUAAGACCACAACGCUACAUGGCGAAGGGGUCAAAGGAGCAAUCCGGUUAAAGAUGGGCUCGCGUCCGAUUAGCUAGUUGGUGAGAUAACAGCCCACCAAGGCGACGAUCGGUAGCCGACCUGAGAGGGUGAUCGGCCACAUUGGAACUGAGAUACGGUCCAGACUCCUACGGGAGGCAGCAGUGGGGAAUAUUGGGCAAUGGGCGAAAGCCUGACCCAGCAACGCCGCGUGAGGGAAGAAGGGUUUCGGCUCGUAAACCUCUGUCCUAUGGGACGAAGGAAGUGACGGUACCAUAGGAGGAAGCCCCGGCUAACUACGUGCC